AAAUAUGUGCAUAUAUAAUGCAUGCAGGCAUAAUAAAUAGGGAAGGCUGCAGGCUUAUGCACAUACAGGCUUUCUGGUGUGCCUGUGUGUGAGUGCAUGAACAUACGAGCAGCUGACUGAAUGAUGCAGCUGCCGCCCAAGCUGCUCGUGUGUGUGUGUCGGGGUGUAGUUCGGGAGCCUCUUCCAAAACAAAGCAGCCUGCCUCCUGCUCCACUGUCCCAACCAAGGGAUUCCUUUCUGCUCACUCCACCCUAUCUGUGACUCUUUUCCCCCACUCCCUUUAGGCAUAUACAGAAAAGCCCACACAUGAUGCCUGGAAAAUUGUAUGUGGUUAACACUAGUUGCAGAAUGAAAGGGAAAAAAUGGGUGUGCAGACCACCAAGAAAAAUGGUAAUGACCAUUUCUCGAGGGCCUGCUAUAUGCUAAGCACUUAAUCCUUCUUCCAACCCUGAGAGCACCAGGCACAGAACUUGGUAUGUGGUAGACAUUUAAUACCUAUGAAUGAGGCACAUACUAUUAUGAUGUCUAUUUUAGAGAUGGGGAAACCGAGGCUCAGAGGGGGUGCAUUGACUUGCCCAAGACUCCACAACUGAGCUGGGAUUUGAACCCAGGUCUCCUCUGAUUUCAAAGCCCUUGCAGUUUCUGCUGCACCACACUGUGGAGUGCUGGGUGGAGAAAGGAAGUGUUCGCUUCCUCUGCUGCAGUGUGGACUAGCUGUUUUUGAUGAUCAAAGGAGACUCACAAUGGGGCUAGGUAGGAACGUGGCUGGGCUGAUAAAUGGCCAGUCUAUCUGCAAACCUGCCUAACUGAGAGGUGGGCCCAUCUGAGCACUUUCCUGCCUCCUUCUCAAGCCUUCUAAGGCUUCCCACUGCCUAGAGGAUAAAGUCCCACUUCUUCAUGUGGCAUUCAAUGUCCUUCGCAGCCUGUCUCCAAGUGCUCCCUUGUCCCUUGUCGUGAGCUUGUCCAGCUGGUCUCGCUGCUCCUGAACUUAACCUCCUGGCUCCAUGAUUCUGUCCCUGCCAUCUCUCCUCCCCAUCACUCCAACCUGGGGCACACUCUCCCCAUUCCAAGCCUUGUCCUCUUCGUCCCCUUGCAGGGGCCUUUUGGGGCAAACCUCUGUCACUCCCCUUCCUGGUGCAUAAACUACUCACCCCUCCCUGGAGCUCCUCAAGCCCCUGCCUCAGCCCAAGCCCACUUGGACCUGGACCUGUCACUGGAUUCGUUCACACGGGCCAAGCUUUCCCACUGGCCCAUGUCUGAGGCCAUCAUCUCUGUGGCCAGUGCACAGGGGAGGACGCUGCACCAGUUUAGGAACUGCACUAACCACAAGGAGAGUAAGAAGCAGGAGUGAAAUGGCCAAAGGCUGGAUUCAGGAAGUGGAGAAGGCAAACUCCACGUGGGCAGGGAUCCUGUUUUAUCAUCUCUGCUUCCUCACUGCACAGAACAGUGCCGGGCACAACUCAAUGCGGAGUUGCUGCCUAAGCCUGUGACCCUGAGAACGCAGGUGCUGCCAGAAUGGAACCCUUAGAGCGAGCUGGACUCUGGCAGCACACAUGGCCUGUGAGGACCCCUUCUCUGUCUCCCACAGACCCUCAAUGGCCUCCCAUUUCCAUUUUUGUACCCCACAGUCUGGGAGCUCCACCCCAGUUCUGUCCUUGGCUGAGUCAUCUUGGUGUCCCCAGGCCUGGCUCAGGGCCUGGCAUGGAGGAGGAGCUGGGUAAAUGUUUGUGGUGUUAAAUUGGACCAGUCUCCAGCUCCUCACUGCCUCCACAUCUGAGGAGCCCCAGGGAAGGGGCCGGCAAAGAGAGAUGAAAGAAGGGAUCGCUGAGUUUGCAGUUUGAGUUUCUGGUUCCUGGGCCAGCCAGUGGGCAAGGAAGGCUGUUAGACUCAGGAAGGAAAGAGCUUUGGAGUCACUAGACCUGGGUUCAAAUCUCUACCAUGUGCCUUACAGGUGUGACCUUGGGUAAGCCCCUUUACCUCUCUCAGCAUCUAUUUUCUCAGUUAUAAAAAUGAGGAUAGUAACCUCAGCUUCAGAGGGAAAUAUGAGGAUUAAAGGCAAUGAGGAGUGUGAAGAGGCUGGCAAGGAUGUGAAGCACACGUCAGAGUGUUUGAGGGUGUGGAUUCCCAUCUGGAUUGAACCCUGGCUC